CGUUCGUCCGCGUCUUCUCUGAAGAGGUAAGGUCGCUCCCUCUCACUCGCUCUCGCCCGCUUUCAUUAUUUAUUUCCUUUCCGAUCGGUCUGCAGAGAAUCAACAGGCGAAGAAGAGAGGGAGGAGAGAGAGGAAUGGCUUCCACUGCGGCUAUGAGCUUCGGCUUGGCUGCAUCUUUCAGAGGGCUCUCUUUGAGCCCCAGUUCGUCGUCUUCCUAUCUCAGAGGCGAUAUCGGAGUGCCUUAGGUGCUCUGUCUCCUUCCCUGCUUGGUCCCCGCUGUCGAUCGAGGCCGCACACAAGAAAGGGGCGGGCGGGGAGCACGAAGAAUGGAAGGGAUUCGAGGGGCCAGAGGCUCGGGGUGAAGAUCUAUGGUGAUCAGGUGGCCAAACCUGGAGCAAUCAUCGUGAGGCAGCGUGGGACUAAGCUAAGCGUUUGUUGCUGGUAUAUGUUGAGGCCGUGAAAAUGCUGAAAGAUGGUGUCUCUCAUGGACUGGGAAGUUACAGCGGAUGAUUAGGGUAGAUCUUAGUUAACAAAAUUUUUAUGAGUGCUAUCCGAUGGACACUCAUUUAUAAUGAGUUGGAAAUUGCGGUGGAGGCUUAUCAUACUGUUGGAGAGAAAGGUAAAUGAGAUGCAAUAAGAAGGAAAUCCGUGGGCAUUGCAAAGGUAUACAAAAAUAUGGCAUGACAAAAUGGGCCUUAUCCUACCUCAAACAAACCAGGCUUGAUAUAAUUUGUCUGUCUCAUGCCUUUUUGUAAACCCAGCUACAAAGAGAAAAAAGUGAUUAUCUUGAAAUUUCCACAUGUAUAGGCAAAGAAAAAGGAACCAGCAUCAUCUAAAGUUAAAAAGAUCUUUGGAUCCUUGACCAAGUGAUAUGUUCUAUAUAUUGGCAUCUAUAAUCCUCCUCUUGCUGUAAUUCUUGUUCGAGAUCCCUCGCAAGCCUAUACAACUCAUGCUUCUAUUUUGAUGCUUUAGUGGAUGGAAAUUGGCAACGCACCAUUAUAGGCAGCUGCUUUGCAGUGAGAGAGAAAGCAAAUUUAUAUAAAUAGGAGAAGAGAAAAAGGAACCAUUGGUUGACACAGUUGGUAAUCAUACUUUUGCACUGUGACAAAUUGAGAACAUGGCCAUGUCAAAAACUAAGUAGUAAGUACCAUGGAGGCAUGGACCCUUCAGAAAGGUUGCUACACCCAACUCGGCACGACUCACGUAUGGGUGCAGGUUGGGUGUGGAAACAAAUAGACUGCUUUCCUUUCUGUUGAAUCAUUGAUAAAAUUAUAGUUUGUUGCUUGUUAAUUAUUAUUUUUAUUGUUUGUCAACAAUUUUAUUGCGAUUUUAUUAUAUGCAUAGUGUAUACUUGCCUCACAUAUGCCCAUGUUUUUUUUUUUAUUCCAUACAUUCUGUACUUGCGCCUGCACCGGCAUUUGGAAGACUGGAACCCAUGCCUAUCUAGAAGUAGAAGACAAGAUAGCUGUCAUGAAUGAGUUGUGUGAUCCAAUAUCCAUACAUCUCUAACCCAAACUCCUUUUGUCAUGCCAAUUCAUGGAGUUAUGAUAUUUUUUGGCACCUUGGAAGCCUUUUGUUUGCUGAAUAACAUUGUUGCAGGUGGUUACUACAGAUACAUGAAAGGGUGAUCUGUUGUACCCAUAUGCAUACUAAGUAUAUUACUGUCAAUAUAUAAAAGGCAUAAUGUUUA